AACUUUCAGCAACGGAUCUCUUGGCUCUCGCAUCGAUGAAGAACGCAGCGAAAUGCGAUAAGUAAUGUGAAUUGCAGAAUUCAGUGAAUCAUCGAAUCUUUGAACGCACCUUGCGCCCCUUGGUAUGUCCGAGGAGCAUGCCUGUUUGAGUGUCAUGA
rnacentral:rRNA from 1 species